CCCAAGAUUGGCUCAAAGGAACAUCUUCCUCUUUGAUUACAAAUGAAGAUUUUGAUAUUCUUGAGAGAUUUGAGCAAGAAUUACUUUAUACGGAAGAUGGUGCUAGUUGUUCAACCUCUUCAACUUCUGUUACACUCGAAGAUGAUUUAACGCAUUAAGCUUAUUGUAGAAGAAGCUGAUUAAUUGCUUAUGGAACUAGAAGUGAAGAGAUGAAAACAAGGAUGGAAUGAAGAGAUGAAAACAAGGAUGGAAAGCCUUUUCUCAACAUCAUCAAUUUGAUUGGAAGAUCAUUCUUCAUUUUAGAUUAACCAUGCAUACAGUGUUUUUAUAUACACAGAAAAAUUAUAAUUUAGAAUGUAAGCAAACAAUUUUCUGUUAUGUGCAAAUCACUUUUUUGUUGCUACUAACAAAUCUUUUGCUUUAAUUAGACUAACACUCAAGAGAUUCUUAUCUA